UUCCUCACUCGUAGUUAGAACAAUCGUGAUACUCAUCUGCUUAAAAGCUUCUUGUGCCUCCUUUUUGCCCAUUUUGGUAAAAUCAAACUCCUUUUAUUCUUAUCGUAUACAAAACCUUACACAUGUACUCCUUACCUAACCAGCUGUCUGGCUUCCUCUUUCUUCCAUGGUACUCAGUUCCAGCAGUGCUGAGAGCUUGGAAUGUUAGUGUUUAUUCCUUCUCCCAUUUCCGCUUCCGGCAGUGCUAGCCACUCCUCCUUCUCCCAGUCUACCACUCCUGCUGGGCCUUCAGACUCAGUUCAAAUUAUGCCUCUUAGAAAACCAUAUCUCAAUUAGGUCUUUUCUUUGGACUCAUCCCUUAAAAAAAAAAGGAAAAAGAGAAGAGAAAGAAAAAAAUUCUUCGCUUCAAGUCUGGGCUAGGUGCUUCUCGUGUGCUAUUAUGUCUUCAGUUCCAGUACUUACUACACUAAGGAGAGUGCUUUCAUUGAAAUAAAUAGAAUUUGUGCUAUGGAAUGCUACUCAGCAGUAAAAGAAAAUGAACCGUUGAUACAAACAACAGGAAUGACUUUCAGACUUAUGCUGGGUUAAAGAAGCCAGAUAAAACAGUACAUAAUGCCCUAUUAAUAUAUACAGUUUUAUAUGUUUAUGUAUUGGUUAAAAAUAAAUUAUAAAUUUUUUAAAGAGAA
rnacentral:lncRNA from 1 species